rnacentral:rRNA from 1 species
UACGGAGGGUGCAAGCGUUAUCCGGAUUCACUGGGUUUAAAGGGUGCGUAGGCGGGCAGGUAAGUCCGUGGUGAAAUCUCUGAGCUUAACUCAGAAACUGCCAUGGAUACUAUUUGUCUUGAAUAUUGUGGAGGUAAGCGGAAUAUGUCAUGUAGCGGUGAAAUGCUUAGAUAUGACAUAGAGCACCAAUUGCGAAGGCAGCUUACUACACAGUUAUUGACGCUGAGGCACGAAAGCGUGGGGAUCAAACAGG